GUCUAUGACCAUGCCGCCCUGAAACAAGCCCGAUCUUGGCUGAUCUCGGAAGCUAAGCAGGGUCAGGCCUGGUUAGUAUUUGGAUGGGAGACCACCCGGAAGACCCGGUGCUGUAGGCG
ensembl:rRNA 5S_rRNA 5S ribosomal RNA